rnacentral:rRNA from 1 species
AUUGAACGCUGGCGGCAGGCCUAACACAUGCAAGUCGCGCGGAGAGGCGGACGGGUGCGUAAUGCCUAGGAAUCUGCCUGGUAGUUGGGGCUAACGGACGGAAACGGGCGCUAAUACCGCAUAAUAUCAGAUAAGCAUAGGUGGGAUUAUGUAGUUGGUGGGGUAAAGGCAUACCACGGCGACGAUCCGUAACCUGUCUGAGAGGAUGAUCAGUAACCCUGGAACUGAGACACGGUCCAGACUCCUACGGGAGGCAGCAGGGGGGAAUAUUGGACAAUGGGCGAAAGCCUGAUCCAGCCAUGCCGCGUGUGUGAAGAAGGUCUUCGGAUUGUAAAGCACUUUAAGUUGGGAGGCGUUACCAACAGAAUAAGCACCGGCUAACUUCGUGCCAGCAGCCGCGGUAAUUC